UACGAAGGGGGCUAGCGUUGCUCGGAAUGACUGGGCGUAAAGAGUGUGUAGGCGGUGUUCCCAGUCUGUUGUGAAAUCUCCCGGCUUAACUGGGAGGGUGCAGCGGAAACUAGAAUGCUAGAGGGUGGGAGAGGUAAGCGGAAUUCCUGGUGUAGCGGUGAAAUGCGUAGAUAUCAGGAGGAACACCUGUGGUGUAGACAGCUUACUGGACCACUUCUGACGCUGAGACACGAAAGCGUGGGUAGCAAACAGG
rnacentral:rRNA from 1 species